rnacentral:rRNA from 1 species
AAAGGAAUAGACGGGGGCCCGCACAAGCGGAGGAACAUGUGGUUUAAUUCGAUGAUACGCGAGGAACCUUACCCGGGCUUGAAAUGUGGAGGAAUAAUUUGGAAACAGAUUAGCCGGCAACGGUCUCCAUGUAGGUGCUGCAUGGUUGUCGUCAGCUCGUGCCGUGAGGUGUCGGCUUAAGUGCCAUAACGAGCGCAACCCUUGUCAUUAGUUACCAUCAUUCAGUUGGGGACUCUAAUGAGACUGCCACCGUAAGGUGUGAGGAAGGUGGGGAUGACGUCAAAUCAGCACGGCCCUUACGUCCGGGGCGACACACGUGUUACAAUGGGGGGUACAGAGGGUCGCUACCACGCGAGUGGAUGCCAAUCUCUUAAAACCUUUCUCAGUUCGGAUCGGAGUCUGCAACUCGACUCCGUGAAGCUGGAUUCGCUAGUAAUCGCGCAUCAGCCAUGGCGCGGUGAAUACGUUCCCGGGCCUUGUACACACCGCCCGU